rnacentral:rRNA from 1 species
CCAAGUUUGACCUCGGAUCAGGUAGGGAUACCCGCUGAACUUAAGCAUAUCAAUUUAAGCGGAGG